GGCAGUUCCGGCAGCGGGGCGGGGGCGGCUGCGGCACAACGGAGGUGAACUGCGCUCAAGCCGUGCCAAGACGAACUGAGCCGAGCCGGGCUGAACCGGGCUGCUCCGAGCUGUGCCGAUCCGAUCCGCACGGAGCCGACAUUCGCUGCGCGGACAGCAGAAAAGAACUUCACAUCCCAGCUGAGCCCAUGCAGCACUUUGGGGUUUCCAGGAAAUACAUGCUUGGAGCCCAAUGGAAGGACCAAAAGGAGCACCUGCACCAAGGAGGUUCCUGUCCACCCUGUUUGCAGUGGGACACAGCUGCAUUCAGCUGGAGGUGACAGAGGGCCUCCUAAGGCAGCCUAUUGCUGAACAUCCAAUAUCACUUAAAUCUGGAUCUCAGGACAGGUUUUAGGUCAUCACUUCUGUUACUUUUUUGGUGUCUAGGCUUAUCAUGAGACUUUGGCAUCCACCAGUCCUCACUUUCUCUGAGCUCCUUAAGCCAUGCUGCACUCAUUGGUUUCCUCCCAUGACUUUUUGGCCAACCCCAAGGGCACACAAUGAAUGAAGCAAGUCAUGUUUCUGAGCUGAAAGUCUGACCACUUUAAGAUGAUGCUCCAGUUGCACAGACACAGGCAAUGCAAAGCUUAGUAAGACUUUCUCCCCUGUUCUACACAUCCUUUGGGAUUUUUUCCAAAGCCCUACCGAGGAUUUAGAUCUUCCUCCUGAACCUCCACACUGCAUCUCAGCACUCACCAUUUCCUCAGGCUGUUUUUGUAAUCGCUUUGACACAUUGGGCAAAAUUUUUCUUGUUUUUUCUUUUUUUUUUUUUUUUCUUUUUUUUUUUUUUUUUUUGCACAGCAAGGACUGAUAUGAACAGAGCACUGUUACACAGCCAGGGCGGAGAUAACUCUUUUUUUCUUUCUGCCACAAGUGUGCUUCCUUUCAAAGAAAGUCACCCAGUUGGCUCUCAGAGCUUCUCACGGAUGCACUGUGCACCUCAGCAGCACAUCAGAGGUACAGGGCCUCAAAAGAAAAGCUUGGGGAGAGACGAGGAAGGAGAGGUGGAAGGAAAGAGCCUCAGCAGCUUAGUUUCCCAGCAUGGCAGGUUCUUAUUUUUCCUCCUUUGGAUCUUUUCCAAGUUAGUCUCUCUAUUAUCUUUCCAUUUUGUUGCAAACAAGGUGAUGUGGUGAGUAUAACUUCUGAUGGUAACUUUUUGGUUUCUUCUCUAAUUGUCUGGGUUUAAUUACAAAGAUUAGCCAGCUCUGUAGCAGCCUGGAAAGGGGAUGAAAUAUUCUGUCAGAAUAGCUGCUCUCUCAGAGCUGCUCUCAGCUUCUUGCAUGUAUGUUCAUGGAUCUAAGUUUAAAAACUUAGCUGAAAAUUCUCAUUUUGCUUCCCAUUUUACUGACCAAGAUUUGCAUAAGCAGAAUGUUGGUCUUUGCCUAGGCCUUCAAAAAGUGAUUAUUGAAACAGAAAAUGAAGAGAAAGUCCAUACAGUGGUGUGAAACAUCACUUGAUGCUGUCUUCCUAAAGGUGUUCAAGGCCAGGUUGAAUGGAGUCCAGGGCAACAUGAUCUAGUGCCUGAUUUAGUGUUUGGCAGUCCUGCAUAAGGCAGGGGGUUGGAACUUGAUGGCCUUUCCAACCCAAGCCAUUCUAUGACUAUGAUUCUAUGACUGUUUGAAUCUAUGAUUCUAUGAAUAUCCAAAACCUGCAUCUGUUAAGACUAGUCAAGGCCUCGAUUCUAUGAUCACAAGCACAUACAGCUUAGAGUGGAUGAACAGUUCCUUUGCAGAGCUAUUCAUGUGCCAUCUCCAGUUCUUAGAUAGAAAUGAGUCACGUACUAAGUGCACAACAGAAGGCAGUCUUGGGUUUGUAUCUAUUUUGCCAUGUUAUUCUCUACACUUCAAGCCUAGCCUUGAAUCCAAACCUGAGGGACUCCUGGUAGUAGGCUUGACUGGAAGGAAGACAUUGGCAAUUGCGUAGUGAUUUCUGUAUUAUUGCUUGUUUGUGUUCAUUUUGUUCAUUUGAUUUAUCAGGCCUGGUGGAGGUUUUUAAUUUGGUAUCACCUACCAGAUUACAUCCAGUAGUGGAGACAAUUAAUUAACUUUGAUGAUGUGUGGGGAAUGAACCCAGACUGCUUUUCAAAUUAAGCACAGCUGUCUUAGCAGUGGAUAAUUUCUCUGGUUUCUACAGUACCUUAUAGCAACACCACUGCUUUGGAACAGCUUGCUGGGGUAGAAUUGUGUCAUCCCGUUUUGAGAUAUUUCUAUUUCCAGCUAUAUGUAAAACUGCUUUCCCCUGUCUAAUCUUUUGGGGAAGAAAUGCUGAAUGGAAGAAGUAUACAAUGGCAAAGGAUGUAUUCAGGGCCAGAUGAAAUGAAAAUUGCGUAGAUUUCACAUAGCUGUGCCUUGUCUCUCUCACCCCAUCAGUGAGCUGCUGUGUGGUGCGGAUGUAGGGUUCACUUAUCUCCAAAACGAAUGUCUUGAUAUUCAUCUGAGCUGUAAAGAGCUCUGAGAUUUGCAGAUGAUAAACUCCAUGUAACGUUUUCACAGUUUUUGUGAAUGGUCAUUUCCAUAUCACAUCUGACCUGUUUUGGGAUGCUUCUCAACCACUGCAUCUUUUAAUUUGCAUGGCUUUAAUUAAUAAGAAAUGUAUUUCCAUUUCCUUAUCACUGUGAAGCACAGAUGCCCUGCUUAUCUUCGAAAGAUACAACAACAGUCAGAGCAUAUACAUAGGAAAUAACUAAAAGACCUAAAAAAACUGAAAAGACAAAAAAAAUCCAAUUGGUAAAUGAGUGAGAAUGGGGAAAUUCUGCCCCAUUCUGCCCAAGGCCAGGGAACUCUUACUCUUCCAUCAGGAGAUGCCUCCACUUCUCCAGGGGCAGAAGAGACUCUUUUUGGAGAAAUUGUACCCUUCUCUGCAUAAUUUUUGUGAUCGAUAUUUCAUCAGUAGUGCCUGCUGAAUACCUGAGCUUAGAAAAAGCCCUGCAUCUUAUUCCCAUUGAUAAUGAACUAGAAAACAAGAAAACACAAAUGUGUCAGAUUCUUUUUUUUUUUUUUUUUUUGUAGGAUAUAUGUAUUUUAUGAAAUUAUUGCUAUACUGAGAUCAUUUCCUAGAGUUUAUUUACUCUAUAGUUACAGUGGUGAAAAAUUCAGAUAGUUUUCAUCCAGGGUUGCGAGACCACAAACCGUUAAGGGGAAGAAUUUGAUACGACAUCAAAGAGAGGUGCCUAUAGAGAUGAUUGGAACAUCCUACACUGUGUAUUAAAGGCAUUCAAAUGUGGUAAUAACAGGACUUUUGUAUUUAGCAGAUUAUAACUAUCAACAAACAUGACAGGUGAAUGCCUCUCUCCAUAAUUAUUACUGCCCUGAUCAGGAGCUGAGGAUGAGAUAGUGCGCAGAUGCAUAAAAAAAAUUACCCUAAUAAGUUUACAAUGUGUAUAGGAAAGAGUUAUAGCAGAGGUAACAAAAACGUUACAGAUUUGGAAGUGGCAACAGUGAGAGAAGUUGAUGUAAGGAAAAAAGAAGUCUUCCAGGUUCGUAUUUAUGGAUAGAAGAGGGUUCUUCAUGGCAUAGUGACAAGCUCCCAGGUAAGAUGUUAGCAGACCAAGGUCUAGAUUGGAAGCUUCAGUGUUGCAGUUUCAGUCGUUUAGGGGUGGAUGUGCUUUUGCUCUUGGGGCCAGAGGGACAUGUGUGCCCACGUACUGCUGGUUCCAACACUAUUAGCUUCAUUUUAUACACUCAAACUGUCCAGCUCGUAUUUAGUAGGACCUUAGUGACCUACAGUGGCCAGCCUUAUAGUAUAUGUGUCAGAGCAGAAAGAAGAUAAACCCUUACUCUCAGGAGAUAAUGUGGCCAGAAAGGGAUAAUGGAACUAAUGCAUUUGCUCUUGUGUGGCAAAGCUGGGACCUCAGCUGGGAAAGUGAGAAGAAAUGGAUCUCACUGGUUACCAGCUCCUCACUAAUCUUCUGGGCCAGAUGUUGUAGGGUAACGUUUUUGUUAAACUUUCUUAACAAUAAAUGACAGCAAGGAAAUAUGAAACAUACUGGAUAAAAUCUAGAAACACUUCCCAAAAUAGGGAGAAAAAUCAGAUUUUUCCAACGCCAAAGGUGACUUCUCAUAACAUUGAACCACAAAUCGAUUCUGCAUUUGACUCACUGAAGCACACUUAUUCAAGAUCACUUCAACAUGAAAAGUGUGGAAUGAGGCAUCAGUCUCUGAAAUUAUAUUAUGUGGCUUUCAUUUACUUUAGGCCAAGAAAAGAAGUGAACUGAAGUUUCUCACCAUCAAUAACAACUCCAGAUUUGCAGCCACUGUUUAUUACAGCUCUUUUUAUUUGGCCUUUACCUGUAUUUCAGAAGAAGUGUAUGUCUCCCUGCUAGUAAUUUGAGAAGAAGUUCGGUAGAUAGAUAAGUUUAGAAGAAAAUCUUACAGAACAGUGUCUGUAUUGGCUGAGAUUGCUGACUGCAGUGACAGGUGGGACUUCAGAUUUAUAGUCAGUUCCUAACAUUUUGUUGACUGCCUCAGGGUAGCUGCUCACUGAACAGGCUACACGAUAGGUUUCCUGUCCAGCACACUGGCCAGUUUGAAUCUCUUUCUGAACUGUUUGAGUACCACAUGCUGUCUUUUUCCCCACUGAACAUUUCUGGAUGUCAUAUUCUUCCAAAUGGUCAAUGUGAUACUGCUGUGCUGUAGUGACAGUGUCUAGCACAAGUUCUAUCCCAGGAAGAUACAUCUUACCUACUGAACACAUGAAAUCAGGGAAAGUAUCUCCCUCUGAAUAAGCAGAUCAUCACAGAGGUAGGCACUGACUCCCCUGGAAGAAGAAUGAAAGGAAACUGGGGCAUGGAACAUGAUUCAAUUCCUUACUGAAUCCUCCAUAUUGUCAGGGGGAAUUUUUUUUACUGAGUGGUCAUGUGUUGGAACAGGUUGCCCAGAGAUGUUGUGGAUGCCCCAUCCCUGGAGGUGUUUAAGGCCAAGUUGGAUGGGGCCCUGGGCAAUCUGAUCUAGUACUUGAUUUAGCUGUUGGCAACCCUGCCUGUGGCAGGGGCAUUGGAGCUUGAUGAUCCUUGAGGUCCCUUCUAACCCAAGCCAUUCUAUGAUUCUACAAACACACAGACACAGAUCUAUCUAUGGGGAUAGGGCUUUGCAUGGAAUCCUCUAUUUCUCUCCUUGCGCAAGGCAUGUGAAAGAAUCAUAGAAUCAUUAAGGUUGGAAAAGACAGAAUCACAGAAUUGUAGGUGCUGGAAGGGACCUCCAGAGAUCAUAAAGUCCAGCCCUCCUGCAAAACAGGUCCCCUACAUCAGGCUGCACAGGUAGGCAUCCAGGCAGGUCUUGAAUAUCUCCAGAGAAGGAGAAUCCACAACGUCCCCGGGCAGCCUGUUCCAAUGCCUCACUGCUCUUUCUGAGAAUUUUUCCUAAUAUCCAAGCUGAGAUCCAAUAGAACACUAUAGCAGACAUAACCGAAACCAUAGCUCUAAGUCAAACACAAGCACUGUUUUGCUAUCACAUCCAGAUAAUUAAUUCCAGAGAAGAUACCCACCCAGGACAGGAAGUGCAAGCAGGAAGUCCCCGUUAUGUCACUGUACCAGAUGUUUUCUGGAAUAAAAUAAUAAACAGCCCAUCCCAGUAAGCAUAAUGAAUGUUUCACUAUUAUAAACGCACACAUGGUCUGAGAAGAAAAUGUACUUAAGGCAUUCAUUUCAGGAGUGCAGGAAUCAAGAGCAGUAUAUUCUCAAAGCAAACUGUCUGUAGAACUUUUGUUACGUAGUUGUUUUGUGGAGUUAUUCUGGUGUUCUGUGGGAGAAGGAUCUCCUUAAGAAAUAUCCAUAGCAUCGGACUUGUAAUAAUGUUUUUCUUUGGUUUGGUAGAUGUAUGCAUUGUUCGUGUUGUCAGUUUAUGCAGUAACUGAACACUUCAGUCCAAAUUCUGUCCUCAGGAACAGCCCGGCAGCAGUAGUAACCACACUGUGAGAUUCAUGUAUCUUUCUGACAGUGAAAUUUAGCUUGUAACCUAAAUAAACUGCUCAGGUAUGUGGCUUUAAUUCUGGUGGGUUUUUUUUGUUUUGUUUUGGUUUUGUUUUUUGUUUCUUAAUGAAGAGAAAUAUAUGAGAAAUGCUAGUGGCAGCAGGACUACUUGCAAACACAAGAGUAAGGCUGGAGUAACUUUAUGAAGUUGGCAGACAUUGCAGUUUUGCUCUGGCACAAGUAUACUAAUAAUACAUACAUAACUUCUAGUUUGUUUCAAAAGUAAACUCAUGUUUGGAUAAUUUUUCACUUGGAUUAAAGCCUUUCAUUGUGAGGAGACCUUUGAUGUAGUAAUUUGAAUUUGCUGUGGAGCUUCUAUAUGCUGGUGAGCUUGCAGUACACAUCAGGACUGCGGUGGGGAAAGAAUCCAUCUGAGAGGAAAGAGCUGGCAUUUUGAACUUGAUGUGCUGAGAAAAGAAAGAGCAGCUGAGGCUUAGAGAGAUUUGUUCUGGCUUGUGAAUGGGAUUUAGGCAAGGUUGUACCCUACUUAUCCAUGGAAACCAGAGAGAAAAAUGCCAAUGCGGGAGCCACUGUUAUUUGUCUUGAAUCUCUGUGAACAUAUUAUGAGAUGACUUCAGCUAGGUUUCCCCCUCCCACCACUGCUUUCUGCAACAGAGCUGUGACACUUGUUUUUUAUGUUUUGAUUUAUAAUACUGGUGAAAUAGUAGAGAACAUGUAUCCUCUGGCUUCCGCUUUCAGCUCCCCAGUCUCCCCCUCCCCUUCGUACAAGGGAAGGGUGUUUGUCAGGGCAACUGCAGCCCAUAAAACCCAUUGAAAGUUAAAUGAUUUUUUUUUUUUUCCACAGCUUAUUGCACUAAGAUGAAGCUAUAGA
ensembl:lncRNA